CAGAGUCGCUCCCCUCCCGUCACCAAGCUCUGCCACUCCGCCGCAUCUCGCCUGCGCAGCGGAUGCUCCCCUUCUCAUCCUCCCUCGUCGCCGUCCGUGUGCGUCCUCCGGGCGAAGCCCCCGCGCAGAUCCGACAGCGGCGGGACCUCUGGUGCGUUGGAGCGGCUCGGAUGCGAGCGAGGGCGCUCGGGUUCCUCCUGCCCACGUGCUGGGAGAUCGAGGUCAUCUGCGCCGCGGCCAUGCUCAUCGUCGCGCUCUACGCCGCCUGCGAGCUCCUCGUCCCGCGGUCCUCGCUAGCGGGCGCCGACGACCUCGGCCUCGCCCGGGAACUCGACGGCGCCGACAAGGUAAGCAAGCUCCGGCGGUUUGCCUGGGGUCCGUCAGUGGGGAAAAUAUUUGGGCGGUUAAUUACGGCGCGACGACCAACAAUCACCCAUGCUAACGUUGCGAGCGUUUUCGGUUUGGCUUUUCCGGGAUUGAUGCUCGGUAUAAGGGAGGUUCCACCGGGCCGUCGGCGUACGUGGUGAAGGUGACCGGCUGAUCAGCCCCUUGUCUCUGAUUUUGUUGCGGCCCCUGAUUGUGAUUGGCUCUGUGAGCGAUCGUGUGAUUUGGGUACGUGCCUGUAACAUCUGGAGCUGCUAGCCGCGAAGAAUUUGAUUGCAGCCAACUUGAAUGGGACCUCGGACCCUUAUGCACUUAUCACCUGCGGCGAAGAGAAGCGUUUCAGGAAUUGGUGUCCAUAUAAAAUGGGGAGCAGUUCUCCCUUAGGAAAUUUUUAGGAUAUUGUUUGGCAGUAAGUUUUGAUGUUUUAUUGCCAAGGAGAACAAACAUGACUUCAAGCAGACUGAAUCCAUUAUUCUCAUAGAUUCUUCAUGCUUAAAUUGAUGGGCUAUCUUCCAUUUGCCAGAAUAUGAUUCUUUUCUUCAUGAUCCUCUGAGACAUGUCGCCUCACUGCCACCGUCAGUCGCCCCCAGGUCGCUGUCUCCACUCGCCAGCCACCAGACGCUCCCCUUAUAUGUGCUAAGGAUGCAAUGUCGACCACAUAUCAACUAACAGGUCUUCUGAUAGGAACCAAUUAUUUGUGCUAAUCUUCGAACUCUGUUACAAGAGAUUUCCUAAAACUAAGGUCAGUUACAUGGCGAAGAAAUCUUCAAGCACAGGAAACAUUGUAUCCCUAUCCUCUGAAGCAACAGCAUGCGCAUGUCGCUCACGACUUACAAUGAAAUACCAUCCAGUCAUGCUACUUGGGUAUAAAUAUAGAAUUCUUACGAAGUCUGUUUUUCCCGGGAA